AUUGAACGCUGGCGGCAGGCCUAGCACAUGCAAGUCGAGCGGAUGAAGGGAGCUUGCUCCUGGAUUCAGCGGCGGACGGGUGAGUAAUGCCUAGGAAUCUGCCUGGUAGUGGGGGAUAACGUCCGGAAACGGGCGCUAAUACCGCAUACGUCCUGAGGGAGAAAGUGGGGGAUCUUCGGACCUCACGCUAUCAGAUGAGCCUAGGUCGGAUUAGCUAGUUGGUGGGGUAAAGGCCUACCAAGGCGGCGAUCCGUAACUGGUCUGAGAGGAUGAUCAGUCACACUGGAACUGAGACACGGUCCAGACUCCUACGGGAGGCAGCAGUGGGGAAUAUUGGACAAUGGGCGAAAGCCUGAUCCAGCCAUGCCGCGUGUGUGAAGAAGGUCUUCGGAUUGUAAAGCACUUUAAGUUGGGAGGAAGGGCAGUAAGUUAAUACCUUGCUGUUUUGACGUUACCAACAGAAUAAGCACCGGCUAACUUCGUG
rnacentral:rRNA from 1 species